rnacentral:tRNA from 1 species
GGGGAUAUAGCUCAGUGGUAGAGUGCGUGCUUAGCAUGCACAAGGUCCUGGGUUCAAUCCCCAGUACCUCCA